AGUAAGUCGAUUAGGUUACAUUCAAAUAAAUUCAGGGCGAAGAAGGGAGAAUAGUUUCAAGAACAGCCUUCAGCUCUAGCCAUCUCACUUCGCCCAUUAUGACUUCAGCUUGCCGAUUCCGCUUGUCCAUCUUUAGCUGCUCAACUUCCUUGACUUUAGCCGCAUAGUCAGUUAAACAAGAUUUACCGCCCAACUCAAAGUCUUUCGCAAGAUCAGAAGCAAUUGUCGACCUUUGAGUUUAGAGUUCGACAAUUUGGCGGUCGAUUCGACCACUUUCUCUUUCUUCGACUUCAAGGCUUCAAUUUUUUGUCAAAGGGCAUCUCGAGUAGUAGUCGCAGCCUUCAGGAUAGCUUCGGCGUGGAGAGCUUUUUCAAAAAUGGUAAAAAACUCUCGGGUUCUCUCCAGGGUAAAAGACGCUUGAGUGAUGGCUUCAGUACUCAAGAGACCUUCAACGGCGAGAGCAUUAACACUCACCCAUAAAGUCGAGACCCUUGCGUUCAAGAAUUCGUGAAGCUAAAAGAGAAAAGAGUUCUUUUAGCUUAACAAGCACAUUGCAUUUGGCUGUCGGGGAAGGCCUGGCUGUGGUCGUCGAAGGGCCAUCCGCCCCCGAAGUGGUCGAGAGAAGGGCGUCAAAUUCGACCUCCCUUGAAGGCUGCAUGAAAAGAAGUUGUCAGAAUAAGCCAAAUCUUCAGAAAAUAAGAAGGGGGAAAUGAUAGACCUGCCGAGAAGAGACUUCGGCCAUGUCUGCUGGUUCGUUGCUCGAACCCAGAGAGCUCAAUGGUCGAGCCCAAUAUUUUAAGCUGCUUCUCAAUUCACACGACCGAUGAAGGUUAUCUACAUUUGACGGCCAUUGAGAUGGCCAAGAGAUAUAGAUA
rnacentral:lncRNA from 1 species